GAUGAACGCUGACAGAAUGCUUAACACAUGCAAGUCUUUGGCGAAGCUGUGCUUGCACAGCCUAGCCAAGGCGGACGGGUGAGUAACGCGUAAGGAACUUGCCCUGCAGUCAGGGAUAACAGACGGAAACGACUGAUAAGACCUGGUAAAGUCAGGCGGACUCAUGUCCAGCCUGAUGAAAAGAGAUGCUGCAGGAGAGCCUUGCGUCCUAUUAGCUUGUUGGUGGGGUAACGGCCCACCAAGGCAAUGAUAGGUAGCCGGCCUGAGAGGGUGGACGGCCACAAGGGGACUGAGAUACGGCCCUUACUCCUACGGGAGGCAGCAGUGGGGAAUAUUGGACAAUGGGGGCAACCCUGAUCCAGCAAUUCUGUGUGCACGAUGAAGGUUUUCGGAUUGUAAAGUGCUUUCAGCAGGGAAGAAAAAAAUGACGGUACCUGCAGAAGAAGCGACGGCUAAAUACGUGCCAGCAGCCGCGGUAAUACGUAUGUCGCAAGCGUUAUCCGGAAUUAUUGGGCAUAAAGGGCAUCUAGGCGGCCAGAUAAGUCUGGGGUGAAAACUUGCGGCUCAACCGCAAGCCUGCCCUGGAAACUAUGUGGCUAGAGUACUGGAGAGGUGGACGGAACUGCACGAGUAGAGGUGAAAUUCGUAGAUAUGUGCAGGAAUGCCGAUGAUGAAGAUAGUUCACUGGACGGUAACUGACGCUGAAGUGCGAAAGCUAGGGGAGCAAACAGG
rnacentral:rRNA from 1 species